rnacentral:rRNA from 1 species
GAUGAACGCUGGCGGCGUGCCUAAUACAUGCAAGUCGAGCGAACGGACGAGAAGCUUGCUUCUCUGAUGUUAGCGGCGGACGGGUGAGUAACACGUGGAUAACCUACCUAUAAGACUGGGAUAACUUCGGGAAACCGGAGCUAAUACCGGAUAAUAUUAUGAACCGCAUGGUUCAAAAGUGAAAGACGGUCUUGCUGUCACUUAUAGAUGGAUCCGCGCUGCAUUAGCUAGUUGGUAAGGUAACGGCUUACCAAGGCAACGAUGCAUAGCCGACCUGAGAGGGUGAUCGGCCACACUGGAACUGAGACACGGUCCAGACUCCUACGGGAGGCAGCAGUAGGGAAUCUUCCGCAAUGGGCGAAAGCCUGACGGAGCAACGCCGCGUGAGUGAUGAAGGUCUUCGGAUCGUAAAACUCUGUUAUUAGGGAAGAACAUAUGUGUAAGUAACUGUGCACAUCUUGACGGUACCUAAUCAGAAAGCCACGGCUAACUACGUG